rnacentral:rRNA from 1 species
AGCUAGUUGGUGAGGUAACGGCCCACCAAGGCAACGAUCGGUAGCCGGACUGAGAGGUUGAACGGCCACAUUGGGACUGAGACACGGCCCAGACUCCUACGGGAGGCAGCAGUGGGGAAUAUUGCACAAUGGGGGAAACCCUGAUGCAGCGACGCCGCGUGGAGGAAGAAGGUCUUCGGAUUGUAAACUCCUGUUGUUGAGGAAGAUAAUGACGGUACUCAACAAGGAAGUGACGGCUAACUACGUGCCAGCAGCCGCGGUAAAACGUAGGUCACAAGCGUUGUCCGGAAUUACUGGGUGUAAAGGGAGCGCAGGCGGGCGAUCAAGUUGGAAGUGAAAUCCAUGGGCUCAACCCAUGAACUGCUUUCAAAACUGAUUGUCUUGAGUAGUGCAGAGGUAGGCGGAAUUCCCGGUGUAGCGGUGGAAUGCGUAGAUAUCGGGAGGAACACCAGUGGCGAAGGCGGCCUACUGGGCACCAACUGACGCUGAGGCUCGAAAGUGUGGGUAGCAAACAGGAUUAGAUACCCUGGUAGUCCACACCGUAAACGAUGAUUACUAGGUGUUGGAGGAUUGACCCCUUCAGUGCCGCAGUUAACACAAUAAGUAAUCCACCUGGGGAGUACGACCGCAAGGUUGAAACUCAAAGGAAUUGACGGGGGCCCGCACAAGCAGUGGAGUAUGUGGUUUAAUUCGACGCAACGCGAAGAACCUUACCAAGUCUUGACAUCCUGCGACGGACAUAGAAAUAUGUUUUUCCUUCGGGACGCAGAGACAGGUGGUGCAUGGUUGUCGUCAGCUCGUGUCGUGAGAUGUUGGGUUAAGUCCCGCAACGAGCGCAACCCUUAUGGUCAGUUACUACGCAAGAGGACUCUGGCCAGACUGCCGUUGACAAAACGGAGGAAGGUGGGGAUGACGUCAAAUCAUCAUGCCCUUUAUGACUUGGGCUACACACGUACUACAAUGGCGUUAAACAAAGAGAAGCAAGACCGCGAGGUGGAGCAAAACUCAGAAACAACGUCCCAGUUCGGACUGCAGGCUGCAACUCGCCUGCACGAAGUCGGAAUUGCUAGUAAUCGCAGAUCAGCAUGCUGCGGUGAAUACGUUCCCGGGCCUUGUACACACCGCCCGUCACACCAUGAGAGCCGGGGGGACCCGAAGUCGGUAGUCUAACCGCAAGGAGGACGCCGCCGAAGGUAACACUGGUGAUUGGGGUGAAGUCGUAACAAGGUAGCCGUAGGAGAACCUGCGGCUG